UCCCUACCAUCCAUAUACACACGUAGAUGGCAUUUGUUAUUAUUUUUUUAUUUUAUUAAUGCAAGAAAACACAGCAACAGUGGCAUUUAUUAUUAUUUAUUAUUUAUUUUAUCAAUGCAAGAAAAACAAACACGAGUCUUUCCCUUCGCUCUCUUCUCUCUCAUUUCUUCAUCUCCACAAAUCAUUAACACCACCACCGCCACCCCCAUUCUCCGCGCUUCCAACCCUCUGUCAUCUUCUCACCCUUCUCCAACCCUAACACCACCAGAAUCGCCACCUCUUCUCUUCAAGUUGCAACCACACCGCCGCCUCUUCUUCCUCAUAACCACUGCCGCCUGUUUUCAAGCUGUUCAGAUCCGGAAAUGUCACAUCGCCGGCGAUCUUCUUUUCUCCUGCAUUGUAUCAUUUUUUUUGGUUCAGAUCUGACGUUUUCUAGUGAGAUGGUAAGUAAGUCUGGCGGCCAUAAGGCGGAGGGAGGCAGUGGGUUGCUCGGAGAAGAGACAUAUCUUAUGUUCAUCAAUAUACAAACAGUUGCAACUACAUGAUCCAUUACUUCGUUGUAUAGUCUCAAAUUUCUUUUUGGUUUUUGAAUUUGGUAUUGUUUGUUUUAAUGGUAGCAUUGGAUUAUAAAGAAAGCUAAUAAACCUCAAUAAUGGUCAAUUGUAGUAACUUAAAGCAAUUAACAGAGAGAGAAGGGGUUUGAGGAGAGAAGAGGUCUGAAAUUUAAAAUAAAAUAAAAUGCCACAUAAGGGUG
rnacentral:lncRNA from 1 species